rnacentral:rRNA from 1 species
GUGUCAGCCGCCGCGGUAAUACCGGCAGCCUGAGUGAUGGCCGAUAUUAUUGGGCCUAAAGCGUCCGUAGCUGGCCGACCAAGUCUCCCGGGAAAUCCACCCGCCCAACGGGUGGGCGUCCGGUAGAAACUGGCCGGCUUGGAACCGGAAGGCUCAGAGAGUACGUCCGGGGUAGGAGUGAAAUCCCGUAAUCCCGGACGGACUACCGAUAGCGAAAGCACUCUGAGAAGACGGCUUCGACAGUGAGGGACGAAAGCUCGGGUCUCAAACCGGAUUAGAUACCCUAGUAGUCC